UAGAUGCGAGAGUAGAGCAUAUCAAUAAGCGGAGGAAAAGAAACUAACAAGGAUUCCCCUAGUAACGGCGAGUGAAGCGGGAAGAGCUCAAAUUUGAAAUCUUCAAGGGUUUCCCUUGACGAAUUGUAGUUUAAAGAAGUGUUUUCUGUUAGAGAGGUGGUAAAAGUUCUUUGGAAUAGGACAUCAUAGAGGGUGAGAAUCCCGUAUUUGAUCACUUUCUACUAACGUUGUGAUACACUUUCAAAGAGUCGGAUUGUUUGGGAAUGCAGUCCAAAAUGGGUGGUAAAUUUCAUCUAAAGCUAAAUAUUGGCGAGAGACCGAUAGCGAACAAGUACCGUGAGGGAAAGAUGAAAAGAACUUUGAAAAGAGAGUUAAACAGUACGUGAAAUUGUCAAAAGGGAAGCGUUUGACACCAGUGUUGCUUUUCCGAAAAUCAAUUAUGAAUGGCUUGAUUUUAAGUUUCAUGACCUUAAAAGCUUGUUUCUUAUUUUUCAUGUCUUUCGUAAUGCACUUUUCGGUUAACAAGUCAACAUCAAUUUCUUUUGUUGUAAAAGGUUAAGAGGAAGGUGGCUUUACUUUCGGGUAAAGUGUUUAUAGCCUUUUAACUCUGCAAUCGGAGAUUGAGGUCUGCAGCGUAGAUCCUUCGGGGUUAGAUACGUUUGUGCUAAGUUAUAGCUUUUCAUAGACAACUUGUUGACUAUGUUAGUCUUGUAGCUUACUCGCAUAUGCUAUUUUACCUACGCUUAGGAUGUUGACACACGCGCGUGCUCG
rnacentral:rRNA from 1 species